rnacentral:rRNA from 1 species
UACGUAGGGUGCAAGCGUUGUCCGGAAUUAUUGGGCGUAAAGAGCUCGUAGGCGGUCUGUCGCGUCUGCUGUGAAAACUCGGGGCUUAACCCCGGGCCUGCAGUGGGUACGGGCAGACUAGAGUGCGGUAGGGGAGACUGGAAUUCCUGGUGUAGCGGUGAAAUGCGCAGAUAUCAGGAGGAACACCGGUGGCGAAGGCGGGACUCUGGGCCGAUACUGACGCUGAGGAGCGAAAGCGUGGGGAGCAAACAGG